GGCAGAGUAGGGGUAGAUGCGUUAAGUGCUUGGUGAACGGGAAGUUGUCACCUUGACGAAAAACUAAUGUUUGCGGUAUCUACCUCGCAUUCCGCUGCC
rnacentral:ncRNA from 2 species